rnacentral:lncRNA from 1 species
CUUCCCACCCCUGUCUGGUUUCCUCUCUCCUCUUAGGUGCAAGCGUGCUGAGCAGGGUUUGGUAACCUUCAGCCCCAACCAUUCCUGGUGGGUAGUGGGGUGGAUCUGAAGGCUGCUGGGCUUUUCCAGUUACUGCCCACCUGCGGCUCCAAUCAGAGACCAAGCCUCCUCAACCUAUUCUUUAAACAUUUUGCUCAGACACCCUUCUCUUUCCACCCAGAACGAAGGACACUCUCUUCAAACAGCAAAGCUCCAGACCACUACUCCGCAAAGACCACUCAGGGAACCGCAGCCCAGAGCCAGAGUCGAAAGACGAAGUGGAGUGGCCGACCCAGAGGAGAGAGAGUGACCAGGUGUCCUGGAGAAUUACCCAAGCACCUCUCCCUACUUCAGAGGAGGAGGACAAAGGCGGUAAAGGAGGUUCCACUGGGACCCUGUCAUCAGUGGGAACUGAGGAGGCAGCUAGAGCUAGGAGAGCAGCCACCUGAUGAGCUUCCCUCUCUCCCUCCUGCUGGUCUGGUCUGGAUUAAGUUCUUCGGGUUGUGUCACUGAGUUUGGUUGGGUCCCUGAAGACCUUCAGAAAAGCUAGAUCGGUCUUGGGUGACGUGCCUGCAGAAUUCAGCACGUUCAGUGAUGUGAAUUGGUAUCAGGACACGGGGCUUGAAGAAUACUGAGCUGUAAAGUCACUUGACGAGUAGAGACCACAGUCACACCUCUUCAAAUCUAUCAGGACUAAAACCCUCAGUUAUAUACCCAUAAAAAAAUUAAAACAUAACAAGUGCAACCCCAACAGUGACAACAAAACAUUAAAGAACUGAAGUGUGCUUCCUCUCCCUCUUGUCAAUGAAUAGGUUUUCUUAAUUGAACCAAGGCCAUCCGUCUAUUUGAACUAGGAAUCAGUCUCUGGGUUUGAUCAAGGAUUUAGUGAAAACUAAUGUAUCUACUAGAAAAGCCUUAGAAAUAGUACAAAAAGUCAAUCAUUUAUUUAAAGGCAUGCAUUUGAGGGGGCUCAAUGCAUGCUUUGAAAAUAGAACAGAAUAGAAUAGAAUAAAAUAGAAUGCUAGUAGGGCAUUCUAACCCUACUAAAGGCAUGCAAUGAAAAAUAAAGCUCCUUCUUAUCCUUUCUAGGUUUUGUUCCUUAGAGAUAUUCACUGAGACUGAUUUCUUGGCUAUUCUUUGAAAAUAUUUUAUGCUUAUAUCAUAUACCACCUCAUAUAUGUAUAUGCAGCUUCUUGAAAAGCAAGUUGUUUCUGGCCUUCUUGCUAUUGUAAAAAAUGCUCUAAUGAAAUACUCAUGUACCUAUACAUACCUGUGCCAUGAGCCUCUCAGUCCAUGGGGAUAGUGUAUUUGAAGGGUGCAUUUCUGGAAGUGAAAUUAACAGGCUCAUUGAUUAUGUGCACACUUAGUUUUGAUAGAUGGUCCAAAUCCUGCCCCCACAUUGCCCACACUCCCCAUCCCCGCUCCACCAGGGGUUGAGCCAAUUUACCAGUCACCAAGAGUGCAUGAGAGUCAUCUUAUUGAAUGCUCUUAUUGCUUCUAAUUGUUUUUCUGUUGAUUUUCUGUGUGUUGUCCCAAUUAUAUAAUACAUCAUUGCAGAUAAGGAAAAUUUUACCUCCUCAUUUCCAAUUUUAAUUCUAUUUUCCUUUUGCAUUGACUUGUAACUCUAGAGUAAUGCUAAAGAACACUGGGGAGAGUGGGCAUCUUUGUUCCUUUUCCUGACUAAUGGGAAAGCUUCUAUUAUCUCCUUAUUAAAUACAAACAUAUUUUUUCUUUUUGAGUAUUUAAAAAAAUCCAAAAUAAAAUGU